UAGGGAAUCUUCCACAAUGGGCGCAAGCCUGAUGGAGCAACGCCGCGUGAGUGAAGAAGGUCUUCGGAUCGUAAAACUCUGUUGUUAGAGAAGAACAUGCAGGAGAGUAACUGUUCUUGUAUUGACGGUAUCUAACCAGAAAGUCACGGCUAACUACGUGCCAG
rnacentral:rRNA from 1 species